AUGGGGAAUGGGUCACAUGCUUCUGUUCGUGGCAUUGGCACGGUGGAUCUGAAGUUUACUUCGGGAAAGAUCGUGCAACUAAGGAACGUGCAGCAUGUCCCUACUAUGAACAAGAAUCUAGUUAGCGGCCUUCUAUGUCGAGAUGGAUUUAAGGUAGUUUUAGAGUCCAAUAAAGUAAUCGUGUCAAGAUUUGGACAAUUUAUAGGAAAAGGCUAUGAGUGCGGGGCUUGUUCCGCUUUUCCCUUUCAGAUUUUUGCAAUAAGUCAAUAA
rnacentral:rRNA from 1 species